CCCUUAUAUGUUCUGGGCUGCACGCGCGCUACACUGAAGCUAUCAACACGUUUUCCCUCCCUGAGAAGGGCGGGUAACCUUUUGAAUCAGCUUCGUGGUAGGGAUCGGGGCUUGCAAUUGUUCCCCGUGAACCAGGAAUUCCUAGUAGACGCGAGUCAUAAGCUCGCAUCGAUUAAGUCCCUGCCCUUUGUACACACCGCCCGUCGCUACUACCGAUUGAACGUUUUAGUGAGGCAUUUGGACCGACGCAUCUCAGUUUAACCGCUGGUUUGUGUUGGAAAGACUUCCAAACUUGAGCGUUUAGAGGAAGUAAAAGUCGUAACA
rnacentral:rRNA from 1 species